GUCAAACAAACAAACAGUAGUCAUCUUCAAGUUGACAAAAAAUAACAAGUUUACGGUUGUCAAUCAUUUCCUCAAUGAAAACGUUGAGGUCGGUGCUAUAUCGAUGGUAGCUCAUGUCACUCUUAGCCCUCUGACCUAUCAAUGCAACAUGUCCCUUUGAUCCUAAGCCAAUGGGAAUAGAGACACAGAUACCUCCCCUAAAAUAAUUCUGCGAAUCUUUCUUGACUGUGAGCCAGCACAAGUGGAAUUUUGAGUACUGUAUAUGAUGCACCUUUCCAUUCUACUAGCUGGUAUUAAGCCAGCAGUAAUACGAUGUACAACCUGCUGCAAACUAUAUACAGUGCUGUGCAAAAGUAUUUGCCCCCUGACCAAUUUCUGACAUUUCUUGCACGUUUGUCACGCUCAUCCAUUUCAGAUCAAGCAAACCUGAAUAUUAUACAAAGAUAAAACACAAAAUGCAGUUUUCAGUGCCAAUGUCAUUUAUUAAGGGGAAAAAAAACAUCUGAACCUACAUAGGCCCAUGUGAAUAAGUAAUUACCCCCCUAAACCUAAUAGCUGGUUGAACCGCCUUUUGCAGCAAUAACUGCAGUCAAGCGUUUGCGAUAAGAGGUGAUGAGUCUUUCACAUCGCUGUGAUGGGAUUUUGGCCCACUCUUCUGUGCAAAAUUGUUUAGGAUCAACCAGAUUGGAUGGUUUUCGGGCAUGAACAGCCUUUUUAAGGUCAUGCCACAGCAUCUCAAUAGGGUUCAGGUCGGGACUUUGACUAGGCCACUCCAAAACCCUCAUUUUGUUCUUUUUUAGCCAUUCAGAAGUGGACUUGCUGGUGUGCUUCGGAUCGUUGUCUUGCUGCAGAACCCAGGUGCGCUUUAGCUUGAGGUCUCGAACUGAUGGCCGAACAUUCUUUGCCAGGAUUUCUUGGUAGUGAGCAGAAUUCAUGGUUCCAUCGAUAAUGGCAAGUCGCCCAGGUCCUGAAGCAGCAAAGCAAGCCCAGAUCAUCACACUUCCACCACCAUAUUUCACUGUUGGCACAAUGUUCUUUUUAUCAAAUGCAGUGUUCUUUUUGCGCCAGAUGUAACGGGAUGCAUUUCUCCCAAAAAGUUCAACUUUAGUUUCGUCAGUCCAGAGGACAUUUUCCCAAAAGCUUUGGGGAUGAUCAAGAUGCUUCUUGGCAAAAGUGAGUCGGGCCUUGAUAUUCUUUUUGGUCAACAGUGGCUUUCACCUCGGAACUCUUCCAUGGAUGCCAUUUUUGCCUAGUGUCUUUCUGAUGGUGGAGUCAUGAACAUUGACAUUAACUGUGGCAAGUGAGUCUUGCAGUUGUUUAGACGUGGUUCUUGGAUCCUUUUGGACUUCUGCAGCUAGUCUGCACCGUGCUCUUGGAGUAAUUUUGCUAGGUCGGCCACUCCUGGGAAGGGUCACCACUGUGCCAUGCCUUCUCCAUUUAUGGAUAAUGGCUCUGACAGUGCUCCGCUGGAGUCCCAAACAUUUACCAAUGGCUUUGUAUCCUUUCCCAGACCGAGACAUCUCUAUAAUCUUCUUUCUUGUUUGCUCUUGAAGCUCACUGGAACGCGGCAUGAUGUGUGUUCAGUAUGGCCUACCUCACCUUGUCAGACAGGUUUUAUGUUAGUGAUCUCCUGAUUGGAAAUGUCUGGCAGCAAUCAGUCCUGGGUGUGGCCAUGAAAUUGAACUCAGCAUUCCCCAAUAAUAAGAUUUAUCACAAUUACCUCACCUUUUAACAAGGGGGCAAUUACUUUUUCACAGAGGAUCAUGUAGGUUUGGAUAGGAUUUUUCACUUAACAAAUAAAAUCACAACAGGACAACUGCAUUUUUUUAAUACUUGGGUUAUCUUUGUGUAAUGUUUGAAUUUGUUUGAUGAUCUGAGAAGGUUAAGUGGGACAAAGGUGCAAAAAGGUAAAAAAUCAGUAAGGGGGCAAAAACUUUUGCACAGCACUGUAACUGUCCGCUCUGCCUCAACUUCAAGGCAACCAGCCAUUGGACAAGAGUGCAGCUCCAUGUAGACAAACUGCAAAGAACUGCAUUGUCUUUCAAAGACAAAGUCAUUUGCAGGUGUACGCUGCAGGACACAAGGCCAUUUUCACUGCCCUUUCUGUGACAGAACCAUUAUCAGGAAGAAUGACAGGACAACACACCUGCUGGUGUGUAAAGAGUCCAAGCCUUUUCUACCACCCGGCGGAUUGGCUGAGCCCUCUUCACCACCCUGCAGACUGGCUGAGCCCUCUCUACCACGUGGCGGACUGGCUGAGCCCUCUCCAAGGACGUAAAACCACUAUGACAGCACAUGUACAACCAAAACAGACAGUGAAAUGUCCCCAUUGUACCACAACAGUUUUAAAAAAGAACUUAACCAGAAGACUUAAGCUGUUUUCACAUAUAAACACCGGACAAGGUCCGGAGAAUCAGGUCCGGAGCUUGGCCGGAAUUUCCCUUUUACACAUGUAGCACACUGCAGAAGUGGAAAUACUGCGGUUUGGUUUAGGUGAGGGGCCGCGCGGGGGUAGAGCGUGCAGGAGGCAGGACAU